rnacentral:misc_RNA from 1 species
UUUAAACCUUGGAGUAAAUGUCAAAAUGAUCACAGGAGAUCAAUUGGCAAUUGGAAAAGAAACUGGGCGCCGCCUGGGAAUGGGUACAAAUAUGUAUCCUUCAUCUGCUCUGUUGGGGCAGACUAAGGAUGAAUCAAUUGCUUCUUUACCAAUUGAUGAACUGAUAGAAAAGGCUGAUGGUUUUGCUGGAGUAUUCCCUGAGCACAAAUAUGAGAUUGUAAAACGCUUGCAAGCUAGGAAGCAUAUCUGUGGAAUGACUGGAGAUGGAGUCAAUGACGCUCCUGCUUUAAAGAAGGCUGAUAUUGGGAUAGCUGUUGAUGAUGCCACUGAUGCUGCUCGUAGUGCUUCUGACAUUGUUCUUACUGAACCUGGUCUCAGUGUCAUCAUUAGUGCUGUUCUGACUAGUCGAGCAAUCUUUCAAAGGAUGAAAAACUAUACGAUAUAUGCUGUUUCCAUCACAAUCCGUAUUGUGCUUGGUUUUAUGCUUCUGGCCCUUAUCUGGAAGUUUGACUUUCCACCUUUCAUGGUGCUUAUCAUUGCAAUCCUCAAUGACGGUACCAUUAUGACAAUAUCAAAGGAUAGG